rnacentral:rRNA from 1 species
CAGCCGCCGCGGUAAUACGUAGGGGGCAAGCGUUGUCCGGAAUUAUUGGGCGUAAAGCGCGCGCAGGCGGUCAUGUAAGUCUGGUGUUUAAUCCCGGGGCUCAACCCCGGAUCGCACUGGAAACUGUGUGACUUGAGUGCAGAAGAGGAGAGUGGAAUUCCACGUGUAGCGGUGAAAUGCGUAGAGAUGUGGAGGAACACCAGUGGCGAAGGCGACUCUCUGGGCUGUAACUGACGCUGAGGCGCGAAAGCGUGGGGAGCAAACAGGAUUAGAUACCCCAGUAGUCCCUGUCUCUUAUACC